rnacentral:lncRNA from 1 species
AUUUCAGAUUCUUUAAGAGUCAGGCUAGAGAAGAAGAAGGAGGAAUAGAAGAAUGAACAUUUCCUAUUGGAGCAGAGAGAGAGGAUUGUCAUGCCCUGUGUGACAAAGACCAGCAACAGGGUCAACAAUGGGAUAUCUCCAGCUGUGACCCAGGCUGUGACUGAACAUGGGUCACACGCUCACCCCCAGGUAAUAAUGGACCACUGCUCGCUGUAGUCCCGGGGGACCCAGGCUGAUGGAAGCUCGCUCACCACUCAGUUCCAUGGCCACAGUCCGCUCAUGGUCAAGUCUGGCACCAAUGAAGCAGGAAUGCAUCUGCUCUCUGGGAAAGGGAAAGGCUCAUGCAUUCAGCAACUCCUGAGACCAGACCAGCGUGCUCAUCCUUGGCUUGCACAGUAAAGGGGUUCAGAGAAGACAAGUUCAUGGAAUAGUUAACAGCCCUCAGAUCCAAACCCAGGUCCAGUUCCAAAGCCCAUGCUGAAAAAUCAGUUCUCCUAGCUGACAGCAGUCCAGCAGCUCUCCACUCAGGUUCCACCACAGCCCUUUUCCCCGAACUACUGACCUCUGCUCUGCUAAAGGUAAAUGACAAGAUUCUUGCUAACAGAGUCUUCCAAUGUUCUGGUUGCUCAGGAAUCUGCCUUCCUUCAAGGCGGACCUCCCCCAGCACUGAUAAGGUAGACAAUCAUAUUCCUAUAAAUGAAGAACUAUAUAUUCCCAAAAGGUACAGAUGAAAUUGACAACUGUGUCCUGUAAACAGUCUGUGACAGACACUGUUCUCAGAUGAUUCGUGAGACACUGCUUCUCACCAGGCUGAAUUGCUGAACUGUCUGCCCUGUGUUGUUCACGUGAACUUACUAGAGAGACCACCCCACUUUGAUCAAAUGUGCAAAAGUUGAAGUGUAUCUUUGUUCAAUGCUGCUCCUUUGGACAGGAGUCUGUUGAGCUGGUGUACACCUUAAACCUGAAAUAAAAU